rnacentral:snoRNA from 1 species
AAUCCAUGGUGUGGGCAUUUUUGAAUCAACAUCUUGAAACAUUCCCACGCCUCAUAAAAACUUUCUCCUUCCAUCUGUCUGAAGUUAGUGAUCUCUCUUCUUAGUUG